GUACAGGAAAACUAAAAUUAAAUUCCAGAUUAGACGAGUUACUUUUAAUUUAUCGGCGUCAUAAAAUUGACACGUUUCCAUCGUAUUAUUAAUCAAAGAACUAAUCCUUGACCAUACUUACUAACCUGUUCUUUUAAAGACAGAGAAAAAAUUGUAAAAACUUAAAAUAAAAAUUCACUUUUUCGAAUUUAUCCAUACUUUCUGCUCUUCUGGGAUAUCUCAAAAUAUGAUUAUUAGUUAAGUAUUAAUCUUAUUUCAAAACCAAUUAAUAAUAAACCAACCCCACUAAAUUUCUAUUUAAAUUAAGAAAUUAUAUUUUUAACCACUAUAGAUUUAAUAUUUAGAUAUAAAAUAUUUAUAUUUUAUUUAAUGGAAUCCCUAUUGUCGCAUUAAAAAGAAUUUUCAAGAAUAACUUUCUUUUCAAACGCUGGAGCUACAACCUAAUUUUAAUUAAAAACCACGUUAUUGAAUUUUUAACCCAGACAAGCUGGAAAUUUUAA
rnacentral:rRNA from 1 species